rnacentral:tRNA from 1 species
CCCUCGUAGCACAAAGGUAAGGGCAGUCGAUUUAUAAUCGUCAGACCUGGGUUCGAUUCCCAGCGGGGGUACCA